rnacentral:rRNA from 1 species
CAGUAGCCGCGGUAAUACAGAGGGUGCGAGCGUUAAUCGGAUUUACUGGGCGUAAAGCGUGCGUAGGCGGCUAAUUGAGUCGGAUGUGAAAUCCCCGAGCUUAACUUGGGAAUUGCAUUCGAUACUGGUUAGCUAGAGUGUGGGAGAGGAUGGUAGAAUUCCAGGUGUAGCGGUGAAAUGCGUAGAGAUCUGGAGGAAUACUGAUGGCGAAGGCAGCCAUCUGGCCUAACACUGACGCUGAGGUACGAAAGCAUGGGGAGCAAACAGGAUUAGAUACCCCCGUAGUCCCUGUCUCUUAUAC